rnacentral:tRNA from 1 species
GGAGGGGUGGCCGAGAGGCUGAAGGCGGCGGUUUGCUAAACCGUUGUACGAUGAAAGUCGUACCGUGGGUUCGAAUCCCAUCCCCUCCG